AAAACACUACAAGACUUUAACCUGAGGAGACUAUGUCAGGUGUCAAGUAAGCAGCCUGCUACAGAGAGAAUAAUAUUUAUAGUCGAACUAGCUACAGCAGCAGCGGUGCUCCGUCGUCCUUCAGAACCAGGGAAGACGAGAAGACCACAGACUUUCUCUGGAACAAUAAAAGAAGACUAAACAACUCCCGAAAUCAUAAGAGUCACAGACUGAUGCUGUAAUCUGGAAACAAACCCUGAAGCUGCUUCAGUAAAUAAAGUAGCCCU
rnacentral:lncRNA from 15 species